rnacentral:rRNA from 1 species
CCUACGGGAGGCAGCAGUGGGGAAUAUUGCACAAUGGGGGAAACCCUGAUGCAGCGACGCCGCGUGAGUGAAGAAGUAAUUCGUUAUGUAAAGCUCUAUCAGCAGGGAAGAAAAUGACGGUACCUGAGUAAGAAGCCCCGGCUAACUACGUGCCAGCAGCCGCGGUAAUACGUAGGGGGCAAGCGUUAUCCGGAUUUACUGGGUGUAAAGGGAGCGUAGACGGCAGUGCAAGUCUGGAGUGAAAGGUACCGGCUCAACCGGUACAGGCUCUGGAAACUGGCGGGCUAGAGGGCAGGAGGGGGCGGUGGAACUGCAUGUGUAGCGGUAAAAUGCGUAGAUAUAUGGAAGGACAUCAGUGGCGAAGGCGGCCGCCUGGCCUGUUAACUGACGCUGAGGCACGAAAGCGUGGGGAGCAAAUAGGAUUAGAUACCCGGGUAGUC